rnacentral:tRNA from 1 species
GGGACUAUAGUUAAGCAUAACAUUUGAGUUGCAUUCAAAAAGUACUACCUACACAGUAGUUAGCCUCA